rnacentral:tRNA from 1 species
GGAAUAUUAAGAAAAAACUAAAAGCUUCUAACUUUUUUUAAAGCGGUUAAACUCCGUUUAUAUUCCU